UGGGUAACCUGCCUCAAAGAGGGGAAUAGCCUCCCGAAAGGGAGAUUAAUACCGCAUAAUAUGUUUAGGUCGCAUGACUUUAACAUCAAAGGAUUUUCUUUUAGAAAUUCCACUUUGAGAUGGACCCGCGGCGCAUUAGCUAGUUGGUGAGGUAACGGCUCACCAAGGCAACGAUGCGUAGCCGACCUGAGAGGGUGAUCGGCCACAUUGGAACUGAGACGCGGUCCAGACUCCUAGGGAG
rnacentral:rRNA from 1 species